GGGGCUGUCCGUGGGAACCGGGCGGGAGGAGCGCCGCAGCCCCGUGGGGACUGAACGGGUCUCGGAGGGCUGCGGUUCACAUAAGUGUAAUCCAUGGUUCCUGGUUCUCCCUCUCAGGUUAUUCAUGAUACUGUCCUGAAUUAUAUGUCAGAGCAGCAUUGAUGAUUGGACUAAAACCCAGUGGAGACAGAUUAAUGGGGAACAGAUGGAUAUAGAGAUCAGAUGAUUUGCCAAGGUCAAGUUUUUAGUAGUAGAAGAUACUAUCUUGACAGAUCUUCUGGGACUCCAACUUCAUAACCUAGAAGAAGAAAUCCAUGAUUUUGGCAGGAACCGGUUGAAUGUGGGCUGCCAUGGAAUUUUCUUAUGAAGAGCAUCACAGCUCUUCAUAAAGAGAGAGAGAGCUCUUCAUAAAGCAUAAAGAGCUUCUUUAUUAUUCAGUCAAACAGCUGCUUGGGACUCUAGAUAACAUUCAAAUGGCACCUCAUUCUGAGAAGAUGAUACAAAUCCUGUGCUUUCUCUUCCUGGAAAUUUAGCUGUGUGUGAUUUGCAUUCUCUUGGAUCAUAGGUUUUCAGGAGUCAACAUGGAAAACGCCAAUGAGAUCGUCAAUUCUAUUCUACUUCUGAUGCUAAAUGAUCAGCUUUCAGAUCUGCUAUGUUUAAUGAUGAUAAGACUGAAAGAUAUAUGACCUUUGUUACACUGUUAGUGAUUGAGACUGAUCAUUAUACAAGAUAUUUUUGAUAUUGUAUUAUAUUUUAUUUGUAGCUACAUAUUAUAUUUGUAGCUAUCUUUCUGUUAUCCCCUCUUCAAUAACAAUCUACAUUUUCUGACAUUUUGAGACCAAUUUGUUUUAAAGCACAAGCACUUUGCGUUUCAAAAGUUUAUACUCUGUUAUCUACAUUCUAGGUGAUACUCCUGGCUUCAGUGAUGACCACUUAUGACUGUUAGUUCUGAGUACUACAAUUAUUGGUAUGCCUUAAAACUUUUUUUUUUAAAGGGAUGUGACAUGUAACAGAAGUACUGAAACCUUUCCAACACUUGACUGGCUUGAACACUGAGCCUUUUUGGAUCAUGGAUUCUCACAGGUUCUUUUAAAUCAUAAAUUUUAGUGGCCGGUUUCAUACAUUAAUUGCUCUAUGCCACAAACAAGGACAGCAGGCAAACAGUCUUUUGUUCUAUUUCUCAAGAGUAGAUCGCUGUCUACACACCAGCAUGGUCUUCAAAAUCCUCAGUCAGAAGUGUUUUCUGCAAGGCAUUCAUACCUGAAUAAACAAAUCUUC
rnacentral:lncRNA from 7 species